rnacentral:tRNA from 1 species
GGUGUUAUAGUUCACUGGCAGAGCAUCUGCUUAGCAUGCACGAAGCCCCAGGUUCAAACCUUAACACUG